GGCCUCCCUCUGUGGGGCGAUCGUUGCUGGGCCCCUAGAUCGAUUGCCCCACAGAGGGUGGCC
rnacentral:pre_miRNA from 1 species